ACAAUAGAUUGUGGAUUCGAGCACUGUUUCACAGGACUCUCAAUGACUGACGCUGUCGGCAAGUCGGUCACUUCUGUCACUUCACCGAACAAUAUUUUCAUAGACAAUGUGAUAAAAAAUUUAAUUACAUAACAAAUGAUUUUGUUU